GGAGAGCUUGCUCUCUGGAUCAGUGGCGAACGGGUUGAGUAACACGUGAGCAAUCUGCCCCUGACUCUGGGAUAAGCGCUGGAAACGGCGUCUAAUACCGGAUACGAGCUGCGAAGGCAUCUUCAGCAGCUGGAAAGAACUUCGGUCAGGGAUGAGCUCGCGGCCUAUCAGCUAGUUGGUGAGGUAAAGGCUCACCAAGGCGUCGACGGGUAGCCGGCCUGAGAGGGUGACCGGCCACACUGGGACUGAGACACGGCCCAGACUCCUACGGGAGGCAGCAGUGGGGAAUAUUGCACAAUGGGCGCAAGCCUGAUGCAGCAACGCCGCGUGAGGGACGACGGCCUUCGGGUUGUAAACCUCUUUUAGCAGGGAAGAAGCGAAAGUGACGGUACCUGCAGAAAAAGCACCGGCUAACUACGUGCCAGCAGCCGCGGUAAUACGUAGGGUGCAAGCGUUAUCCGGAAUUAUUGGGCGUAAAGAGCUCGUAGGCGGUUUGUCGCGUCUGCUGUGAAAACCCGAGGCUCAACCUCGGGCCUGCAGUGGGUACGGGCAGACUAGAGUGCGGUAGGGGAGAUUGGAAUUCCUGGUGUAGCGGUGGAAUGCGCAGAU
rnacentral:rRNA from 1 species